rnacentral:sRNA from 1 species
GUAAAAAAAGAGUGCAGUGGUGUUUGCAACUAAUUGAUCACAACCCGUUACAGAUUUCUUUGUUCUUUAUGUACUCCUACUGCUUUACUUGACUAAC